UCCGCUGCUCGCGCCUCCCGCCCCGCCCGCGCGCGCCCGCCCCGGGAGGAGGGUGCGCGGCGGAGGCGCGGGGGGGGGGGGGGGGGGGGGGGAGUCGAGGAGGGGCCGCGCCCGGUCCUCGCCCGCAGCGGGCACCGCCGGGGGCCCCGGGAGGCCUUGUUGGUAUUCCGGGCACAGCAGAAGCCCUGACCUCCCCGCGGAACAGGGGAGCCCGGGAGCGCGGCGCGGCCGCCGCCCCCGGGCGGUCUCCCCGGACUGCGGGGCCGUAGGCGCCUUGCUCCCCCUCCUCCCUGUCCCCUCCUCUCCAGGUCCCCCGUACCCCCUCCCCCGGCCUGAUCCGGCGGCGAAGGGGUGGGCAGGGAAACGCGCUCUCUGGGACAGGUGCCAACUCCGAGACAAAAGACAUAAAAUAGGCGGCAACGGGGGAAGCGCGGCCGGCGCGCUCGGGCGGGGACGGAGGCGCCGCGGGGGCCGCAUCCUCGGUGCCGACCGGGGAAAGUUUGGGAAGUCGCCGCGGCGGCUUCGCAGCGGCGGGGGACACGCGGGCCGGGCCGCCCUCCGCGCCGCGCUCGCCCUCUCCGCGCCGCUGCUGAAUAAUUCAUGGCGCGGCCGCCGGCCAUUAGCAUGCACCGGGCGCGCGGCGCGUCUGUGCCCAGCCGUCGCCGCCGCAUUCGGCGCCCCGGCCGCGCUAGACGAGCGGCCGCGCAGAGGCCGGGCCCGCGCCGUCCCCGCGCUCGCCCGCCCGUCCGCCCGUCCGCCCACCCGGCGGCUCCCAUUGUGCCCCAGGCCCGCGCCGCUCCGCCGUCCUGUGACCGCCUGCGCCCCGCAGCGCGCCCGACGGCCGGCCGCUGGAAGUUCGGGCCCGCGGCGCACGCCCUGCCGCCCCGGGAUGCACGUGAACUUGGAGAAAGUCUCGGGGCGCGCCGGCGCAGACCUCCGCGGCAGGGCGUGGGCGCCCCUGGCCCCGCGCGCUUUCGUUUUCGUCUGGGACAAAGGUCCCUCGCGGCGCAGGUCGCGGACGUGGAGGCAGUGCCCUGCGGGCCACUCAGCGGGGAGGUCCGGUCGUUCAGUCAAGGGAAGCCGGAGCCUGGAGAAGACGAGCCGCGCGGUCGGAGGCGCGGUGCGGGACCAGGACAGUGGGGCCUGGCCGUGCGCUUCGCCCUGGCGGUCCAGGAGCUGUCUCGCCCUCCGAAGAGUUACGGGAGGUGGCACUGCUUUUGCUCUCUGCCCUUUCGACACGUGAAGGAGAGAAUCAUUCGGAACCCAGGACUCAGACCGGUGGCCGAGGGCCUGUGCAGCCGCGAGCACGACAGCGCAGCGCUGGCCGCGUCCGCGCGCGUUCCUCCGACAAGGGCAGAGCAGUCGACCAGCGCGCCCCAGUCUCGAUCGGGUUCAAGGCGACUCUUGAGGACGGUGUGGGGCUUUGAAAGUACAAUCCUGCAUGGCCUUACUGUGAAUGGAUGGGCACUUUGUCUCGGUCCGGAUGCAGGAGUCCUGCCUUUAGAGGCAGCUCAGAAGCCCUGUGGAUGGAUCGUACGAGCGCCCCGGCCCAGCCCACUUGCAGCCAGUGGUAGGAGGCUUGCCGAGCAGAGAUGUGACCGGCCGAGACUGCGGUUAUUAUCGCCAAAUGAGACUGGUAGUUGUGGUUAG
rnacentral:lncRNA from 1 species